rnacentral:misc_RNA from 1 species
GAUGAAGAACGUAGCGAAAUGCGAUACGUAAUGUGAAUUGCAGAAUUCAGUGAAUCAUCGAGUCUUUGAACGCACAUUGCGCCCAUUGGUAUUCCGUUGGGCAUGUCUGUUUGAGCGUCAUUACAACAGUUCAGCGUAAGCUGGUUAUGAGUUCUGUUUUUUUAAACAAAAAACAGGCUUUAAAAUGUAUGUUCUGCAGGUCGCUUUGCUAAACCCUAAACAUUAAAUACUGUUCUAGUGAAGCAUUUGCGACUCUGCCUGAAAAAAAACUUUUGUUAAAGUUUGACCUCAGAUCAGACAAGGAUACCCGCUGAACUUAAGCAUAUCAAUAAGCGGAGGA